GAGGCGUGGUUAAUCUUCGGCCACGUGACUCUCGACACCUACGGGGCGGAGCCUCUUGUGGCUCCCCCUCCCCCAUAAAAGCACAACAAACACACGCCUUACAGUGAAGGUCACUGAUUGCAGAUCAAUCUCGUUUACAUUCAGGUUUUCAAGAACCAGUCUAGCUAGUUAAACAUCAACUGACCCACGGUGUGUUAUAGUGGUGGUUGGCCCAGGUAGAUGUGGCUGCAAUGAAUGGUCAAGUAGAGAGGAGCUGGAACAAAAACCUGAAGACUGUCAAUCAUGUUGUGCUGAGACUGGUUGGCUCGCCGAGCUGGUUUCUUGUUUCGCAGACAUUUCAUUACCAUGCUGGUAACAUCCUGAGUGCAGCCUCCAAUGAAGCAUCGAUGUGUUUUCCUGCCUGGUUUUUUAAACUCUGGGGCCCAUUGAGAUGGAUCGCCUCACUUCCAGCUUUCCUUCUUAGUGGAAUGUAUAUGGGGUCGAUUUCAAUAUGUUUAUUAAUAGCAUGCUUUGUGGAGUGCCAGCCUUUUAGCAACUCUCGUGCCUGUCUCUGCCUAGCUUGUCCCCGGAUUUUUUUUCACAACAAUUAUUCUGCACUUGGUACAAUACAUCCAUCCAGCACAAUUUCCCGUUAUUCUCGUAUUGCCUGUCAUCCAGGAAAAAGUGAUUAAUUGAACAUGCUGAGUCAAACAGAGAAUUUGUGGAUGAUGUGCCACAACCUGGAUGAUUGUAAACUGGGAGUUCAGGGCUGUCAAAGCAAGUCAAGAUUGUUGGAGGCAUCACUGGUGAUCCAUGUUUGGCUAAUCUGACGGCUCAAGCCCUGCCUCGAUACAGAAUAGAUAAAUAUGUGAAAGGGAACAAUUUAUAGGGCUAAAAGGAAGGUGUAGAGAAUAAGGCUAGCUGGACAGCUCUUUCAAAGAGUCAGUACAAACAUGAUGGGCUAAAUGGUCUCUUCUGUAUAAGAGCAAUAGGUCCUCCUGGUGUUCUGAACUAGAUUGCUCUUUCAGUAUCAUAGCUCACAGACAAAUUGAUAAUUGAUCUUUUUCUGAUCUUCCUUGACAUAAGUGGCUGUUUGUUUUGUGACAUAGCAAGCUACUUAUAUUUCAGAGUAAUUCAUUGUACACAAUGCACUGUUCAAAAGCAAGCACUUUUUUCUUUCUCAAGCUGCACUGGCUUUACCAGCUAUCAUUAUUUCCUCUAAUUGGCCAUUCUUUAUGUUUCAUGAGUGUUAGCAGCUUAUUAAACAGUGCCAGUCUCACAGUUAACUUAAUCUCAUUUUUCCGGUGACAUUCACACACAUCCCUUUAACAGGAGGAGCCUUGUUAAUUUACACUGGGGACUAAUUGUUUCCUGUCAUAGUGCCUUUGGUCAGGUCAGCUAGCUCUGUGUAAAUUUGGUUGCUAACUCUCGGUGUAUACCAGGAGGAAUACCUGUUGCCUCAAAUCAUCCAAUUAUCCAUCCCCCGCCUCCUUUAGCAGCGGUACCUUGCUGCUGCGUACACAUUCCAGCCCCAGGACCAAUUAGACAGGGGAAUGGCUACUUUGGACAGGAUUCUCACCCCUGAAUUGAGAUAAAUAUAGAGACAGGUGGGCCUUUCAAAAGGUUGUCAACGAGUUUUGAUCGUUUUUAAAGGUUGUUAAGGUAAUGCAAAGGCCAACUAAAGCCAGUGAUUGGGGGCAGCAUGACAGCUCCUCCCUGGAAGAGACCUGGGGUCCAAUGCUCCAGGUUAUCUUUGCUAGAUCUGCCCUGCAUUUCAAAACUGCCAUUUAUUCUCUCCGAGAUAGUUGGAACUGCAGAUGCUGGA